UCCUAAGAUUGAAAUCUAAAGAAAGCUAGCAACCCUAUACUCCAAUCUUGGAUUUCCUCUUUCCAAAAGGGUAUUUCCUCUUGAUCGCUACACCUAAAACUCUAAAAAUGUCAGUUCUGGAAUUGUGAACAAUGGUGGUGCUUUGUAAAAACAGGUUAAAAAAAAUUAAGCAGGUAAGGGAAGUUGAAAGUGGAUAUCUGCUAGGCAGUGGGGACAGGCAUGGAAAAACAGAAGUAGAGAAGUAUGCAAAAACCAAACAACAGGAAAAAUCAGUACGCAAGAACCAAAUAGAGGCAGAAUUCAGAAUGUGCCAGAAAUCAGGCAAAGACACCAAAUUGACCAGAAAUCCCAAAAGAAUGCCUUAAAUGACCAGGAAUGUCAAAAACUAGGCAGAUGGUUAGGAACCCAGUGAGCAAACAGGUGAUCAGGAGGUAAGAGUGCAGCCUCUGCAAGAGAUGACAUAAUCAAGCACCCAGGCAAAGAUGUCUACAAGGAAACCCUGAUUCUCAGGACAAAUGCCUAUGUUGUUCACAAAUGGUGUCCAACUUGAUGCUGUCAGGAGAAGUAGGAAAGAAGAAAUCGAGUUGCUGAGGGAAUAUGGAAUUGGAGCAACCAGAGCAGGUCCUCCUUUUUCUUCCUUUUGUUAACAAAAAAUUUGACUGCAUGACUAGAGAGCUGGCUAAUUUUCUUCACUUUUGGAUACUUUUAUUCAAAUAAGAAUUCACAGCACUCUGUUGCUCUCUUCCUAGGUGAUGUGGCGUUCUUAAUUGGUUCUCACAGAUGUUGCACUGAUUCAGGUCUUGGCAAGGGACUUACAGCAUCUCAGGACAAGUUGAGAACUGAAAAUAGAUCCUGUCCAUUGACUCAGCAGGAUUGGAGAGCUUGCUUCUUAAUAAUCCUGCACCAAGUUAGAACUCAUGUCUAGGACAUCCUAUUCCAUGCCAUUGCGGGUCUGAUUUUCUUGUAAAGGUAGUUUUCUUAUUAAAACAGAAGUAUUGACAGAUGUUAUAUUCUCCUUCAUUACAGAAUGCAAGCCAAGUUCUACAGAUAUGAACAUUGGGUGAUAUUUGCCUUCUCUUUAUAAAGUACAGGUCUUACAGAACUCACUCCCUGUCAAAGUCAACUGGGGAAACAGAAUCUUUUAUCUUUAUUGGCAGAAGGGUUUAUCUAUUUCAUUUCCUUCUUUUAAGCUGGGGGACCAGUCCUCCCUCAUUUGUGGUUUCGCUUCCCACAGUUUCAGUUACCCAUGGUCAACCGCGAGCCAGAAGCAGAUGAUCCUCUUUCUGACAUACUCUCGGAAGGUCAGUAGCAGCCUAACACUACGUCACAAUGCCCACGUCAUUCACCUCACUUCAUCUCAUCACACAGACAUUUAGUCAUCUCACAACAUCACAAGAAGUAGGGUCUGACAGGCAACUUUGGACCACAUCCAGUCUUGUUGAGGUGCCCGUGCUUCUAUCUAGGUUACUGUCUCUUGGAUUGCUCAUUCUGGGGGAAAACAGCUGCCGUGUGGUGAGGAAAGAUACACACAAUGAAGAACUGAACCAAAAACCAUGUGAGUGAGUCAUCUUGGAGCAGCUCCUUGGCAUCAUUCAAGGCUUGACAUGAUGGCAGCUCCAGAUGACAUUGACUGCAACAGCAUAAGAGAUCCUAACCAGAUCUACCCUGCUAACCUGUUCCUGGAUCUGACCUUUGGGAACUGUGUGAGAUAAUAAAUACUGCUUUAACUGCUAA